ensembl:lncRNA
AUGGAGUUUUUACGUCAGUACUUCUGGACAGUAUUACUUCUGGCCAUCAUUCUGUUUUCUCUGGUGAUAAUAAUCAUUUUCGUAUUCAUCAAUGUUUGCAUCAGUAAAAGAGCUGCUUGGUACAGUACACAAGCAAGACCAAAUCAUUACCAAGACACACAUAUUAAAAACCUGAACAACCAAGUUCAUCACAAAGACCUUGAGAAUGAGAAACCACCCUUACCUUCCAGGGAUCAGUUCAAAACCAUGCAUUCUGUAGAUCAGAGUAAUGAGGAUUUGGAGCCCGCGUCAGACUAUGAGGAGAUUGAGGAUGUGUCAAAUCCUCCUGCGCCCCAACAACCCACCUUCACUCCACAGUACACCACCGUCGAGACUAAAAGUCAAGACCAAGACACUGUCUCUGAGGAUUAUGAUGAUGCUAUAAUCCCUGCUAACGAGGACAGUGAGGAUUAUGAUGAUAUCAUAGUUUGAAAGACAGGAAAACAAUUACUUUCCCUUCAACUGGACACAUGAGCGGAUCCAGAAAUCAACUAUAUGUUUCCUACAAACUACUGUUGUACAUUAUUUGAGCAAAAACAAGUUCUAAAAGCAUGUAAACUAAUACAAGUUUGUUUACUUUUAUAUAAACCAAUCUUUCACUUCCCACUGUUAGAAAUGCAAUAAAUCUUCCAAAAAUAUCA